rnacentral:rRNA from 1 species
AGGGUUCGAUUCUGGCUCAGGAUGAACGCUGGCGGCGUGCUUAACACAUGCAAGUCGAACGGGAUCCAUCAGGCUUUGCUUGGUGGUGAGAGUGGCGAACGGGUGAGUAAUGCGUGACCGACCUGCCCCAUACACCGGAAUAGCUCCUGGAAACGGGUGGUAAUGCCGGAUGCUCCAGUUGAUCGCAUGGUCUUCUGGGAAAGCUUUCGCGGUAUGGGAUGGGGUCGCGUCCUAUCAGCUUGACGGCGGGGUAACGGCCCACCGUGGCUUCGACGGGUAGCCGGCCUGAGAGGGCGACCGGCCACAUUGGGACUGAGAUACGGCCCAGACUCCUACGGGAGGCAGCAGUGGGGAAUAUUGCACAAUGGGCGCAAGCCUGAUGCAGCGACGCCGCGUGAGGGAUGGAGGCCUUCGGGUUGUAAACCUCUUUUAUCGGGGAGCAAGCGAGAGUGAGUUUACCCGUUGAAUAAGCACCGGCUAACUACGUGCCAGCAGCCGCGGUAAUACGUAGGGUGCAAGCGUUAUCCGGAAUUAUUGGGCGUAAAGGGCUCGUAGGCGGUUCGUCGCGUCCGGUGUGAAAGUCCAUCGCUUAACGGUGGAUCCGCGCCGGGUACGGGCGGGCUUGAGUGCGGUAGGGGAGACUGGAAUUCCCGGUGUAACGGUGGAAUGUGUAGAUAUCGGGAAGAACACCAAUGGCGAAGGCAGGUCUCUGGGCCGUUACUGACGCUGAGGAGCGAAAGCGUGGGGAGCGAACAGGAUUAGAUACCCUGGUAGUCCACGCCGUAAACGGUGGAUGCUGGAUGUGGGGCCCGUUCCACGGGUUCCGUGUCGGAGCUAACGCGUUAAGCAUCCCGCCUGGGGAGUACGGCCGCAAGGCUAAAACUCAAAGAAAUUGACGGGGGCCCGCACAAGCGGCGGAGCAUGCGGAUUAAUUCGAUGCAACGCGAAGAACCUUACCUGGGCUUGACAUGUUCCCGACGGUCGUAGAGAUACGGCUUCCCUUCGGGGCGGGUUCACAGGUGGUGCAUGGUCGUCGUCAGCUCGUGUCGUGAGAUGUUGGGUUAAGUCCCGCAACGAGCGCAACCCUCGCCCCGUG